rnacentral:rRNA from 1 species
UACGUGAGGGGGCAAGCGUUUGUCCGGAAUCAUUGGGCGUAAAGAGCGCGUAGGACGGCCCGAUAAGUCCGCUGUGAAAGUCAAAGGGCUCAACCCUUUGAAUGACCGGUGGAUUACUGUCGGGCUAGAGUCCGGAAGAGGCGAGUGGAAUUCCUGGUGUAGCGGUGAAAUGCGCAGAUAUCAGGAGGAACACCAAUGGCGAAGGCAGCUCGCUGGGACGGUACUGACGCUGAGGCGCGAAAGCGUGGGGAGCAAACAGG